AACAAAUGUCUGUAGAGAUUCAUCUGACUCCUAAUGAUAACAGGGAUGAUACAAAGAGAACUUCAGCUCAGCUAAAAAUGAAGUUGUUCAUGUGAAAUUCUGUCUGCUCAUCUGCAGGAAGCCAACGUCUCUGCUUUAAAAAACAGACUUUGGGGAGGGGUUGAGGGCAUCUGGGUGACUUCAAAUAUGG
rnacentral:lncRNA from 1 species